UCCACGUACAUGACCCGGAAGUGGAGCGUCAGGUUGGUUCACCUUACUCAGGUGGAAAGUGGGGGAACUUUGAAGGAAGUAGCAGCCAUGCAGAAAACAACAAAUAGCUGCAGCUGGGGUGGAGGGUUCCCAGUCGGUUCUCACCCACAGACUCCAGUCCAGACUGACUGGGACGUGUCUGCUCACAAGCCACACCAAAUGAACGCGAUCAGCUGGGCUGGACGACACCACGGUGACGUCUGUAUCCGCGUCUGACGGUUUAAGCGUCCGGCGUCACAGCGUUCAGUGAGAGAAGAAGCUGUCACUGUGUUUGAGCUCCAGGUCG